UACGUAGGGAGCAAGCGUUGUCCGGAUUUACUGGGUGUAAAGGGUGCGUAGGCGGCUUUGCAAGUCAGAAGUGAAAUCCAUGGGCUUAACCCAUGAACUGCUUUUGAAACUGCAGAGCUUGAGUGGAGUAGAGGUAGGCGGAAUUCCCGGUGUAGCGGUGAAAUGCGUAGAGAUCGGGAGGAACCCCAGUGGCGAAGGCGGCCUGCUGGGCUCUAACUGACGCUGAGGCACGAAAGCGUGGGUAGCAAACAGG
rnacentral:rRNA from 1 species